AGAGUUUGAUCCUGGCUCAGGACGAACGCUGGCGGCGUGCCUAAUACAUGCAAGUCGAGCGUUUCUGAUGGGAGCUUGCACCCUGAUGAUUAGCGGCGGACGGGUGAGUAACACGUGGGUAACCUGCCUGUAAGACUGGGAUAACUCCGGGAAACCGGGGCUAAUACCGGAUAACUUUUUUCUUCGCAUGAGGGAGAAUUGAAAGAUGGCCUCUGCUAUCACUUACAGAUGGACCCGCGGCGCAUUAGCUAGUUGGUGAGGUAACGGCUCACCAAGGCGACGAUGCGUAGCCGACUUGAGAGGGUGAUCGGCCACACUGGGACUGAGACACGGCCCAGACUCCUACGGGAGGCAGCAGUAGGGAAUCUUCCGCAAUGGACGAAAGUCUGACGGAGCAACGCCGCGUGAGUGAUGAAGGUUUUCGGAUCGUAAAACUCUGUUGUUAGGGAAGAACAAGU
rnacentral:rRNA from 1 species